UGCAGUGAAAUUUGAAUCUACCGUCUUACCUCAAUCAAUAUCAUAUAUAGUCCGAAAUAAAAUUCAUCCUUGAACCUUUAGAAUAUUGUUACUUUGUUAUUAAUAGCACAAAUAAAUUUAGUCAUAAUAACACUUCAAAAGAUCAUAUACAAGUUAUUACCUUUGGUAAAUGAAAUAAAAUUGAUCCUCACAGGUGGCUCUAAAUACUAUUUUCAACUUAAAAGUUUUAUGAACAAUUCACUUAUUGAAAGAUCAACAAAUUAAUUCUCAACAUUGACUUCAUUUGUUGCUAGUUAAGAAAAUUUCUUUCUUCAAUAGUAAUUCAUAGAUAAAGCAACUAGAGGUAAAC
rnacentral:lncRNA from 1 species